ensembl:lncRNA
CUAAAAUGUUGUCUUUUUCAGCCUCUUCAGCUAUAACCCGAGAUAUUAAAACCAGCUUUUAGUGAGCAACAGGAUGCCAUCCAGAUGUAUGGAGGUGUGAUCAGGAAAGCCAAGCCAGAAAUUGAACUGAACCUGGAAAGGUAUGUGAAAAAUAACAAGGGAUUAUACAGAUACAUUGUGCAGAAGAGAAAGGCCAAGGAGACUGCACCUCCUCUGAUAAACAAGAAGGGAGAAAUGAUAACAAAAGUCAUAGAGGACGCUGAAGUAUUCAAUACGUUAUUUGCCUGAUUGGAAAAAAAAGGAAACAUUGCUCCUAUUUUGAUGAAAGGUUGAAAGGAAGAUCUGGAGAUCUACAGACUGGUGAGCCUCAUGUCUGUACCUGGGUAGAUCAUGGAAUAAAUCCUCCUGGAAGCUAUGCAAAGAUGAGAAGUUGAUCUGUGAAGGCCAGCGUGGCUGCACCCUGUGCCUAAUUAAUCUAGUGGCCUUCUACUGUGGACUGACAGCAUCAGUGGACAAAAGAAGAGCAAUUGAUGUUGUCUGCAUAGACUUUUUGAAGGUCUUUGA